rnacentral:rRNA from 1 species
UACGGAGGGUGCAAGCGUUGCUCGGAAUUAUUGGGCGUAAAGGGUAGGUAGGUGGUCUCAUUUGUCUGGGGUGAAAGCUUUGAGCUUAACUCAAGAAGUGCCCCAGAAACGGUGAGACUGGAGUCCUGGAGAGGGUCGUGGAAUUCCCGGUGUAGCGGUGAAAUGCGUAGAGAUCGGGAGGAACACCAGAGGCGAAAGCGGCGACCUGGACAGGUACUGACACUCAACUACGAAAGCGUGGGGAGCAAACAGG